rnacentral:rRNA from 1 species
ACGAACGCUGGCGGCACGCUUAACACAUGCAAGUCGAACGAGAGAAGAGAAGCUUGCUUUUCUGAUCUAGUGGCGGACGGGUGAGUAACACGUGAGCAAUCUGCCUUUCAGAGGGGGAUACCGAUUGGAAACGAUCGUUAAUACCGCAUAACAUAAUUGAACCGCAUGAUUUGAUUAUCAAAGAUUUAUCGCUGAAAGAUGAGCUCGCGUCUGAUUAGCUAGUUGGUAAGGUAACGGCUUACCAAGGCGACGAUCAGUAGCCGGACUGAGAGGUUGAUCGGCCACAUUGGGACUGAGACACGGCCCAGACUCCUACGGGAGGCAGCAGUGGGGAAUAUUGCACAAUGGAGGAAACUCUGAUGCAGCGAUGCCGCGUGAGGGAAGAAGGUUUUAGGAUUGUAAACCUCUGUCUUCAGGGACGAAAAAAGACGGUACCUGAGGAGGAAGCUCCGGCUAACUACGUGCCAGCAGCCGCGGUAAUACGUAGGGAGCGAGCGUUGUCCGGAAUUACUGGGUGUAAAGGGAGCGUAGGCGGGAUCGCAAGUCAGAUGUGAAAACUAUGGGCUUAACCCAUAAACUGCAUUUGAAACUGUGGUUCUUGAGUGAAGUAGAGGUAAGCGGAAUUCCUAGUGUAGCGGUGAAAUGCGUAGAUAUUAGGAGGAACAUCAGUGGCGAAGGCGGCUUACUGGGCUUUAACUGACGCUGAGGCUCGAAAGCGUGGGGAGCAAACAGGAUUAGAUACCCUGGUAGUCCACGCCGUAAACGAUGAUUACUAGGUGUGGGGGGACUGACCCCUUCCGUGCCGCAGCAAACGCAAUAAGUAAUCCACCUGGGGAGUACGACCCCAAGGUUGAAACUCAAAGGAAUUGACGGGGGCCCGCACAAGCAGUGGAGUAUGUGGAUUAAUUCGAAGCAACGCGAAGAACCUUACCAGGUCUUGACAUCGUAUGCAUAGCUCAGAGAUGAGUGAAAUCUCUUCGGAGACAUAUAGACAGGUGGUGCAUGGUUGUCGUCAGCUCGUGUCGUGAGAUGUUGGGUUAAGUCCCGCAACGAGCGCAACCCUUACUGUUAGUUGCUACGCAAGAGCACUCUAGCAGGACUGCCGUUGACAAAACGGAGGAAGGUGGGGAUGACGUCAAAUCAUCAUGCCCCUUAUGACCUGGGCCUCACACGUACUACAAUGGCUGUCAACAGAGGGAAGCAAAGCCGCGAGGUGGAGCAAACCCCUAAAAGCAGUCUUAGUUCGGAUUGUAGGCUGCAACCCGCCUACAUGAAGUCGGAAUUGCUAGUAAUCGCAGAUCAGCAUGCUGCGGUGAAUACGUUCCCGGGCCUUGUACACACCGCCCGUCACGCCAUGGGAGUCGGUAACACCCGAAGCCUGUAGUCUAACCGCAAGGAGGACGCAGUCGAAGGUGGGAUUGAUGACUGGGGUG